rnacentral:rRNA from 1 species
CUUUCUAUUAGCUCUCAGUGAGAUUACACAUGCAAGCAUCCACAGCCCUGUGAGAAUGCCCUCAACCAAAACAUNNNNGAGGAGCGAGUAUCAAGCACGCAUCAUGCAGCUCAAAACACUUUGCUUAGCCACGCCCCCACGGGAAACAGCAGUGAUAAACAUUUAGCAAUGAACGAAANGUUUAACUAAGCUACACUGACCACCAGAGUCGGUCAAUUUCGUGCCAGCCACCGCGGCCAUACGAUUGACUCGAGUUAAUAGAGCCCGGCGUAAAGGGUGUUUAAGACUUGAAUCCAAGUACAAUAAAGCUAACCUACAACUAAGUCGUAAAAAACCACAGUUGCAGUGAAAUAAACUACGAAAGUGGCUUUAAUACUCUGAAUACACUAUAGCUAAGGUACAAACUGGGAUUAGAUACCCCACUAUGCUUAGCCCUAAACCUCAGUAACUCAACCAACAAACUUAUUCGCCAGAACACUACAAGCAACAGCUUGAAACUCAAAGGACCUGGCGGUGCUUUACAUCCGUCUAGAGGAGCCUGUUCUAUAAUCGAUACACCCCGAUAAACCUCACCACCUCUUGCCAUCAGCCUGUAUACCGCCAUCUUCAGCAAACUCCCUAAUGAUCGCAUAGUAAGCGGAAGUAUCAUCAUAAAAACGUUAGGUCAAGGUGCAGCCAAUGACGUGGGAAGAAAUGGGCUACAUUUUCUAAAUCAGAAAAUCAUACGAUANACCCUUAUGAAACU